AUGGGGGUCAUUGUGACUUUUCAGCAAAGAAUUGCCAGGAUGGAUGCUCAUGAGGUAAUACCAAAGCAGUCUGUAGGAGAUGCGGAGAGCUGCAGCUGCAGACAGCUGGUUGCACCUGCCAUCCUGGAGUUCUCAUUUCUUCUCACACCUGUCUGUCUAGAAAGGAGCAGAAACCCUAUGAUGGAGAGCAUACUAAGGCACGAGUGUGUGCUCAGCCAUGUCCAACUCUCUGGGGCCUCCUGGACCUGUAGCCUGCCUGUCCAUGGAAUUUUUCAGGCAAGAAUACUGGAGUGGCUUGCCAUUUCCUAUUCCAGGGGAAUCUUCCCAACCCAGGGAUCAAACCUGCAUCUCUUGCUACUGCUGCAUUGGCAGGCAGAUUCUUUACCACGGCGCCAGCUGGGAAGCUGAGGAAAGAAUACUGUGUGUCCAUCAAGUCCCCUUUCCUUUUUCCCGGAACUACAUGUCCCAGCACCCCCUGCUGUCAGGUCAAGUCACAUGACUGAGUUCUAGGCAAUGGACUGUGGGUAGGAGCGAUGUAUGCCACUUUCGGGGUGUCCUCUAAAAACACCACAGGCAGUCUUCUCAGUGUGCUUGCACACUCUUCCCUUGCGGUCUGCUGAAAACCCAGUGAAGAACAUUGAGCCCCUGGGGAUGGCUGAGCCACUGGACUGAAUUGUUCCGUAAUCUGAUGUAGUAGAACCCUGGCUCCUGUUCACCUCCACUAGACUGGAACAUUAGGUUUAUUAAGCCACUGAGGUUUCGAGGACUGGUUAUUAAGCAGUUACCUAACUUGAUAAUACAAAGCCUGAAAGGGGUAUCCGUAUCCUUGUUUUUCCAGGUGGAAAACCAACUCAGAGAUGCUAAGUAACUUGCCAAGGUCACACAGCAAAUAAGUGGCACAUCUGAGAUUUGAGCCCAGGUUAUAACUUUCCCACUGUACCAGGCUAGCAGGGUAGUUCAGUUCAGUUCAGUUCAGUCACUCAGUCAUGUCUGACUCUGCGACCCCAUGAAUCGCAGCACGCCAGGGUAAGUGCCCUGUAUAAAAGGUGCAUUAGCAUUUGUCUUUUGAGGUGUCAUAGAAAGAAAGGCUGGAGAAAGCAAUGGCACCCCACUCCAGUACUCUUGCCUGGAAAAUCCCAUGGAUGGAGGAGCCUCAUGCGCUACAGUCCAUGGGGUCGCUAAGAGUCGGACAUGACUGAGCGACUUCACUUUCACUUUUCACUUUCAUGCAUUGGAGAAGGAAAUGGCAACCCACUCCAGUGUUCUUGCCUUGAGAAUCCCAGGGAUGGGGGAGCCUGAUGGGCUGCCAUUUAUGGGGUCGCACAGAGUUGGACACAACUGAAAUGACUUAGCAGCAGCAGCAGAAAGACACACACACAGCAGGAUUAGGAGAUGGAGAGGGAGGGAGAGGCUGGAUGGCAGGUGUGCAGAAUGGCACAUCACAGUGGCCAAGAGAGGUAGCCUUUCAAGGAAGGGGUGGUCAGUUGUGUCUAAUGAGACCCAGCCAGGUGGAGGAGGAAGAGGGUUGAGGACAGGCCAUUAAAUUUAAUGACCUUGGUGACAGUUUCAGCUGAGUGAUGGGGCAGACGCCAGGUUGGAGGGAGCUUGGGGACAAGUUGGUGGUUGGAUUGGUGAAGGGAAGAAGAAAAAUAAGGGAUAGUUUUAAGCAGAGGCCAGGCCAAGGGAAGGAAUUUUGAGGAGAGUCAGUGGUUAGAAGGAGAUUAAAAAUAAAAAAGGGACUCAUGACCUACAUAAUGUGAAGCACCUGAAUGCGAUGAUUUUCCUUUUCUGCUUGGUUCUGGUGAGCACUCCCAGAGCUAAGCUGACAGGUCAGGAAGCAGGGAGGGAGAGGUUCAACACAGUCAGCAGGUCAUGCAACAUUAACUGGGCUGCAAGGCUGUCCCCUGAGUGGGCAAGCGGGUGGUGGCUGAUGUGCUGUGAUCGGAGAACCUGAAAUUCUUCAGGCUUGUCUAAGGCUAUCUAUCUUUUUCUUUAUAUUAAAUUCGAAAAAUUUUCUUCAUAUUCCUUCCAAGUUUUUUUUUUUUACCUUUAUUGAGGUAUAAUUGACAAAGCUAUAAUAUAUUUAACAUAUACAGUGUGAUGAUUUGAUAUAACAUACUUUGUGAAAGGAUUCCCACAACUCACCUAAUGAACACAUCCAUCAUCUCACAUGUUUACCUUUUUAUUUUUGUGAGAAUGCUUAAGAUCAACUGUCUUAGCAAAUUUCAAGUAUACAAUACAGUAUUGUCAACCCUAGUCUCCAUGCUAUAUAUUAGCUCCUCAGAGUUUAUACAGAAUAGUAUCCAUUUGACUAGUUUCAGGGGUUGGUGCUGAUAAACCUAGAUGAUAAAUCUAAGGAAGAGAGGGGUAGUCGCUUGUCUAGCUCUUACCACAUCUUCCUAGACCUCUAGCUGGAGCUUGCUAAGUCUCUCCAAAUGUCCAUUCUCUCCCAGCCUUCCUUGCAGCUAUAUAUGGACAUGUACUAAGUUACUGACAAAAGCGUGUGCUCAGCUUCCCACCAGAUCACACUCAUAUACGGAAUGUUUGCCCUGAACAUUGUCCAUUUCCCCUUUUCUGUGGGCUGGAACUUAGAAAUGUCAGUGAUGAGCCAGCUGUGGUUAUAUGGACACAGGCAAGACCCUACACAGGUAAGCAAUUGUGAGAAGAAACUUGGGCCCCUCAAGACCUUGUAGAAAACAAUAGCUUAGUGUUCAGGACCAGUCUCUCCUUCUGGACUGGUGUGUGGGAGAGAUGCAAACUUCCACUGUGUCUCGUGGUUGAAGCAGCUUGGCCUACACCUUAAUUAACAUUCAUCCUUCGCUCUUCUCCAUGUCUCCUUCCAUGGUGCCCUUCACCAUUCAGCAGUUGCCCCAUCCCUUCUCUGUCCUUUCCCCUUUUAUUUUUUUCUCUCCCUGGUUUGGCCAUAUUCUUUCAGUCUCCUCCUCACUAUCAGAACAUCUUUACUUAUCCUUGUUUCCUCUGUUUAUAUUUCUUUCUUUUAAAAAUUCUUUUAAAAAGAUGGAUGGUUUUAUUAAGAUAAAAAUUCACAUAGCAUAAAAUUCACCAUUGUAAUCAUUUUAAAUUGUACAGUUCAUGAUCAAUUGAUUAAAAAUUUUCUUUUAAAUUGAUGGUAUUCCUUCACUGUCUUUAGAGCCCUUCCAAGCGAGCCCUCGAAAUGUCAGCAUUUCCUGGGGUUCUGUCCUUGACCUUGCUCUUCUUUCCUCUGCACACUGUAUGUGCUUUCUUUGGUCAGCCUUAUCUACUUUCUGAGUUUUUAUCCCAUCUGAAGACAUCGGAUCUGCAUCUCCAGCUUGAUCUCUUUCUUGAGCUUCAGACUGAUGUCAUUUGCCCGAUGGGUUCCACUUCUUUAGCAUUCCAAAGGUCACCCUGGGGGAUGCUGCAUUGCACACCUCCAGGGGGCUCCAGGUACUGGGUCACCUCAAUUCAACGCAUCCAUAUCAGUUAGGAGACUUGCAGGGGUACAUAGCAGGAAACUCAACUCAACACGCCUCAAGCAAGAAGGAAAUGUAUUGGCUCACAGAGGAGGACAGGCUGAGCUUCUGGGUGGCUUGAUCUAGUGGUCUGAUAAGUUCAUUCAAGGUCCGGGUUUUUCUCUUGAUUAUGUUCUUUUCCUAGAAUUGUCUUAGCCCAAGCCUCUGAGUUGGAGGAGUGCUGUUGGUAGUGAUCAGGACUACUUGUUUCCUUCUCAUUAAGGGAGAGCUCCUUGCCCAAAACUGUUGAAGAAAGAUAGUUUCCUUCAGUCUGAGUGAGUCAACUUACGGUCUAAAUGCCAAUAAAAUCACAAGUGGAAUGCUGUGUGGUCAUUGACUUAGCCCUAUGCUCCAUUCCAGUCGUUGGCAAGGAGGAUUAUUAUGGGAUAGGCUUAUUAUGAUUGAGUUAUAUGAUCAUGUCCACCCUGGGUCUGGAGUGAAUUCCCUAGACUGAAUUUGUGUGACAGGUGGCAGAUGGGUUGCGUAGAUGUUGGGCAGUCAAUUACAAUGUCAACCCCCAUAUCAAAAGCUAAACUCAUCACAUCUACUCAUUUGCCUCAACCUUGGUCUUCCUUCUGUAUUUUCUAUUUCAGUGACUCGUCCCACCAUUAACUCCCCACUCUAACAGAAGCCAGAGUCCUCAGCUUUCUCAGCUUUCUCUCUGUGGCCCCCACUCAAUGAUUUAUUUAAUCACCAAGAUCCAGUAUUUUUAUUGUUUGCGCUCCUGUCUCAUAUCUACUAUCACCAAUCUGACAGCUAUCUAAUUGAUUUCUUUUCUUUAGUUCCAAGACCCUCCACCCUACCCUUGCUGCAGCUACCAGAAUAAGUUUUUUAAAAUGCAAAUCUGGUCUUUUUGGUUAUCCCCUUUGCUUAAAUCUUUCAUUGACUUCAUAUCAUUUCUAGGGGAAAAUCCAACCUCUCCCUAGUGGUUGGGGGCUAGGCAGGAUUUAGAGAAAUAUAUCUUGGCUAUGAAGGGACCACAGCUUGUACUGAUACAUAGUCUCAAUAGUAUCUGUUAAAUAGUAUCUGUUAAAUUAAGCAGAAUGCUCUGUGGUUGCUUGCCUGUGACUAAGGGCUAGAUGAAAGGGUGAGUGACUUAGGCUGUGAGCCUGGAUGAGGUAGGAAGCAAUAUGAGGUACAUGGAAGUUUGACAAGGCCCAGAAUUUAUACUGCAUGGUGGGUUGUUUGGCUUUUAACUGUAGUCUGGUGCUUAUAGAGCUUGAUUUAAAAGUUAGACAGCUGGGGCUAACUGCAAAAUCGUGACCUUGCUUUUUGCCACUGUGGGCCAGCCGCUGAACCCCUAGAUUCAGUACCUUCCUCUGCAACAGGGGGAAUAAAAUUAUCCACCUCAUAGGUUUGUUGUGAGAAUUUGAUGAGCUGAUGCUCAUAAAGCAUUUGGAAUAUAGUAAAUGUGUGAGAAAUGUUGCUUGUUCUUGUUAUCCCUUAGUUGAAGUCUAAUAUAUGUUAGUAAUAUUUAAAACAGAUUUAAAAGUGUUUUAUAGUACAAACUUAUUGUAUCAGUUCAGUUCAGUUGCUCAGUCAACUCCGACUCUUUUUGACCCCAUGGACUGCAGCACUCCAGGCUUCCCUGUCCAUCACCAACCCCCAGAGCUUACUCAAACUCAUGUCCAUCGAAUUGGUGAUGCCAUCCUACCAUCUCUUUCUCAUUCCCCUUUUACUCCUGCCUUCAAUCUUUCCCAGCAUCAGGGUCUUUCCAAAUGAGUUGGUUCUUCGUAUCAGGUGGCCAAAGUAUUGGAGCUUCAGCUUCAGCAACAGUGCUUCCAAUGAAUAUUCAGAAUUGAUUUCCUUUAGGAUGGAAUGAUUGGAUCUCCUUGCAGUCCAAGGGACUCUCAAGAGUCUUCUCCAACACCACAGUUCAAAAGCAUCAAUUCUUCGG
rnacentral:lncRNA from 1 species